CCUAACCUACUCCUAAUACACUUUGGAUUAGAGUUCUACUAUAAUUAGAGUUCUACUAUAUUCACAUAUCUAACAACAACAAUUCAUAAAAGAACAAACUUUAAACGGAAUUAAAAAAAGUAUAAAAACGCAGCAUUCCAAAGGACAUCUAGCAGUCAAAAAUCCUAUGUGCAAGCUCAUCAUCCGUCUAUUUACGCUAUUCCAAAUUAAUGUCCACUUUUUGAGAAGGAGCAAACUAUAUAAACCAAAAUAUUAUCUGGAGAUGGCUCGUAUACUUCUCAGCGAUGCUUUUAAUUAUUCUAGCCCUAAUAAUUUCAAAGAAUACGUUAUAAAACAAAAACUCUCCUGCCAUACUAAUAAACUAGGCAACUCAAAUUAGGAGAUUCAUUUUGAAAGAGGUAUAGUAUUACUUUGUAUGCUUCAGAGUUGCAGAAAAGUGAAACAAUCAUCAGGUUUAUUGCACGCCUGCUGAAAAUAACAUGAAGGCGGUAGUUUGAUGGAUCAUGAACUUACAGGUUAUUCAGCUCAA
rnacentral:lncRNA from 1 species